rnacentral:rRNA from 1 species
CACGUAGGGGGCGAGCGUUGUCCGGAUUCAUUGGGCGUAAAGGGCGCGCAGGCGGCCCGGAAAGUCGGAUGUGAAAACUCGGGGGCUCAACCCCCGAGCGUGCACCCGAUACUGCCGGGCUUGAGGCAGGUAGGGGAGAUCGGAAUUCCUGGUGUAGCGGUGAAAUGCGCAGAUAUCAGGAGGAACACCGGUGGCGAAGGCGAUCUUCUGGACGGAUACUGACGUUGAGGCGCGAAAGCUAGGGGAGCAAACAGG